GGGGUUGUGGCUUAGCGGUAGAGCACUCAACUCAUACAUGUGAGAUCCUGGGUUCCAUCCUCAGCACCA
rfam:Ictidomys tridecemlineatus contig023755, whole genome shotgun sequence.